GGGGCUGUAGCUCAGUCGGUUUCAGAGUGCCACCCUGUCAAGGUGGAAGUCGCGGGUUCGAGUCCCGUCAAC
rnacentral:tRNA from 1 species